rfam:Myotis lucifugus cont2.38748, whole genome shotgun sequence.
GGAAGUUCUGGGGUGACACACCCUGGAAUCAAGCUCCCUUCUCUCUGGUUCCAGAUGCAUCACCCUAGAACUGCC